GAUGAAAACGCAGCGAAAUGCGAUACUUGGUGUGAAUUGCAGAAUCCCGUGAACCAUCGAGUCUUUGAACGCAAGUUGCGCCUCAAGCCAUUAGGUUGAGGGCACGUCUGCCUGGGCGUCACAUAUCGUUGCCUGAUGCCAGUUUCCUCGUGAUGGGUGACUGUGCAGGGCGAAUGAUGGCUUCCCGUGAGCAUUGUUGCCUCAUGGUUGGUUGAAAAUUGAGUCCUUGGUAGGGAGCGCCGUGAUAGAUGGUGGUUGAGUGACGAACGAGACCCAAUCAUGUGAGACCCCUACCGAAUUUGGCCUUCAUGACCCACAUGCGUCUUUGGAACGCUCAUGACGAGACCUCAGGUCAGGCGGGGCUACCCGCUGAGUUUAAGCAUAUCAAUAAGCGGAGGA
rnacentral:misc_RNA from 1 species